rnacentral:rRNA from 1 species
CCUACGGGUGGCAGCAGUAGGGAAUCUUCCGCAAUGGACGAAAGUCUGACGGAGCAACGCCGCGUGAGCGAAGAAGGCCUUCGGGUCGUAAAGCUCUGUUGUUAGGGAAGAACAAGUACCGGAGUAACUGCCGGUACCGUGACGGUACCUAACAGGAAGGCAACGGCUAACUACGUGCCGGCAGCCGCGGUAAUAGGAAGGUGGCAAGGGUUGCCGGGAAUUAUGGGGCGUAAAGCGCGGGCAGGCGGUUCCUUAAGUCUGAUGUGAAAGCCCACGGCUCAACCGUGGAGGGUCAUUGGAAACUGGGGAACUUGAGUGCAGAAGAGGAGAGCGGAAUUCCACGUGUAGCGGUGAAAUGCGUAGAGAUGUGGAGGAACACCAGUGGCGAAGGCGGCUCUCUGGUCUGUAACUGACGCUGAGGCGCGAAAGCGUGGGGAGCAAACAGGAUUAGAUACCCUGGUAGUC